rnacentral:lncRNA from 1 species
UGGUCUUAAUUUUAAGUGAGCAUGGAGAAAGAAAUUCGGUGAAAAUUGGGAGAAAGAGAGAGGAAGAAGGGAUGACGGUGGUCAGUGAUGAGAGGCUUGAAGUGGUAUUUGGGAUCCUUUAUAUAGAGCAGAGGCUAGGGUUCCUUAGCCUCCAUCAGAGUCCAAGGAGGAGGAGAAGUCCUCCUCUGUGUCAAAGAGGGGCUCUGCCCC